CGUUAAUCGGGGCAGGGUGAGUCGACCCCUAAGGCGAGGCCGAAAGGCGUAGUCGAUGGGAAACGGGUUAAUAUUCCCGUACUUGGUGUUACUGCGAAGGGGGGACGGAGAAGGCUAUGUUGGCCGGGCGACGGUUGUCCCGGUUUAAGCGUGUAGGUGUGUGUUCCAGGUAAAUCCGGUUCACUUUAACACUGAGGCGUGAUGACGAGGCACUACGGUGCUGAAGCAACAAAUGCCCUGCUUCCAGGAAAAGCCUCUAAGCAUCAGGUAACAUCAAAUCGUACCCCAAACCGACACAGGUGGUCAGGUAGAGAAUACCAAGGCGCUUGAGAGAACUCGGGUGAAGGAACUAGGCAAAAUGGUGCCGUAACUUCGGGAGAAGGCACGCUGACACGUAGGUGAAGUGAUUUACUCAUGGAGCUGAAGUCAGUCGAAGAUACCAGCUGGCUGCAACUGUUUAUUAAAAACACAGCACUGUGCAAACACGAAAGUGGACGUAUACGGUGUGACGCCUGCCCGGUGCCGGAAGGUUAAUUGAUGGGGUCAGCGCAAGCGAAGCUCCUGAUCGAAGCCCCGGUAAACGGCGGCCGUAACUAUAACGGUCCUAAGGUAGCGAAAUUCCUUGUCGGGUAAGUUCCGACCUGCACGAAUGGCGUAAUGAUGGCCAGGCUGUCUCCACCCGAGACUCAGUGAAAUUGAACUCGCUGUGAAGAUGCAGUGUACCCGCGGCAAGACGGAAAGACCCCGUGAACCUUUACUAUAGCUUGACACUGAACAUUGAGCCUUGAUGUGUAGGAUAGGUGGGAGGCUUUGAAGUGUGGACGCCAGUCUGCAUGGAGCCGGCCUUGAAAUACCACCCUUUAAUGUUUGAUGUUCUAACGUGGACCCGUGAUCCGGGUUGCGGACAGUGUCUGGUGGGUAGUUUGACUGGGGCGGUCUCCUCCUAAAGAGUAACGGAGGAGCACGAAGGUUGGCUAAUCCUGGUCGGACAUCAGGAGGUUAGUGCAAUGGCAUAAGCCAGCUUGACUGCGAGCGUGACGGCGCGAGCAGGUGCGAAAGCAGGUCAUAGUGAUCCGGUGGUUCUGAAUGGAAGGGCCAUCGCUCAACGGAUAAAAGGUACUCCGGGGAUAACAGGCUGAUACCGCCCAAGAGUUCAUAUCGACGGCGGUGUUUGGCACCUCGAUGUCGGCUCAUCACAUCCUGGGGCUGAAGUAGGUCCCAAGGGUAUGGCUGUUCGCCAUUUAAAGUGGUACGCGAGCUGGGUUUAGAACGUCGUGAGACAGUUCGGUCCCUAUCUGCCGUGGGCGCUGGAGAACUGAGGGGGGCUGCUCCUAGUACGAGAGGACCGGAGUGGACGCAUCACUGGUGUUCGGGUUGUCAUGCCAAUGGCACUGCCCGGUAGCUAAAUGCGGAAGAGAUAAGUGCUGAAAGCAUCUAAGCACGAAACUUGCCCCGAGAUGAGUUCUCCCUGAGACUUAGAGUCUCCUGAAGGAACGUUGAAGACGACGACGUUGAUAGGCCGGGUGUGUAAGCGCAGCGAUGCGUUGAGCUAACCGGUACUAAUGAACCGUGAGGCUUAACCUU
rnacentral:rRNA from 1 species